GAACGGUUGUAGCAAUACAGCAGUGGCAGACGGGUGAGUAACACGUGGGAACCUUCCUAGGGGUACGGAACAACUCAGGGAAACUUGAGCUAAUACCGUAUACGUCCGUGAGGAGAAAGAUUUAUCGCCCUUAGACGGGCCCGCGUCGGAUUAGCUAGUUGGUGGGGUAACGGCCUACCAAGGCGACGAUCCGUAGCUGAUCUUAGAGGAUGAUCAGCCACACUGGGACUGAGACACGGCCCAGACUCCUACGGGAGGCAGCAGUGGGGAAUCUUGGACAAUGGGCGCAAGCCUGAUCCAGCCAUGCCGCGUGAGUGAAGAAGGUCUUCGGAUUGUAAAGCUCUUUUGCCAGGGACGAUAAUGACGGUACCUGGAGAAUAAGCCCCGGCAAACUUCGUGCCAGCAGCCGCGGUAAUACGAAGGGGGCUAGCGUUGUUCGGAAUUACUGGGCGUAAAGCGUGCGUAGGCGGUUUGGUCAGUCAGCCGUGAAAGCCCCGGGCUUAACCUGGGAACGGCGGUUGAGACGGCCAGACUCGAGUGGGCUAGAGGAUCGUGGAAUUCCCGGUGUAGCAGUGAAAUGCGUAGAGAUGUGGAGGAACACCAAUGGCGAAGGCAGCCCCCUGGGUCGAUACUGACGCUCAUGCACGAAAGCGUGGGUAGCAAACAGGAUUAGAUACCCUGGUAGUCCACGCCCUAAACGAUGUCAACUAGGUGUUGGGUGGGUAAAACCAUUUAGUACCGUAGCUAACGCGUGAAGUUGACCGCCUGGGGAGUACGGCCGCAAGGUUAAAACUCAAAGGAAUUGACGGGGACCCGCACAAGCGGUGGAUGAUGUGGAUUAAUUCGAUGCAACGCGAAAAACCUUACCUACCCUUGACAUGCCAGGAACUUGCCAGAGAUGGCUUGGUGCCCGAAAGGGAGCCUGGACACAGGUGCUGCAUGGCUGUCGUCAGCUCGUGUCGUGAGAUGUUGGGUUAAGUCCCGCAACGAGCGCAACCCUUGUCGUUAAUUGCCAUCAUUUGGUUGGGCACUUUAACGAGACUGCCGGUGACAAACCGGAGGAAGGUGGGGAUGACGUCAAGUCCUCAUGGCCCUUAUGUCUUGGGCUUCACGCAUGCUACAAUGGCCGGUACAAAGGGCUGCGAAACCGUGAGGUGGAGCGAAUCCGAAAAAACCGAUCGUAGUCCGGAUUGCAGUCUGCAACUCGACUGCAUGAAGUCGGAAUCG
rnacentral:rRNA from 1 species